rnacentral:rRNA from 1 species
UGAAUCCGGUAAUCAAUGGCCAUAUCAUGCUUACCUGUAACACACGACGGCCAGGUGAAUCCGGAAUCCUGGACAUAGCUGUAUCCUGGAAAACGACGGCCAGUAGAAUCCGAAAUCGUGGCCAUAGCUGUUUCGUGGAAAAGGCACAGCCCGUGAAUCCGGAGCCCAGGAAAUAGACGGAACUCGUCAAAGGAAAGGCAGCGAAAUGAGCGGCGGACGGAUGAGUAACACGUAAGGAACCUGCCUCAAGGAUUGGGAUAACUCCGAGAAAUCGGAGCUAAUACCGGAUAGUUCAACGGACCGCAUGGUCCGCUGAUGAAAGGCGCUCCGGCGUCACCUUGAGAUGGCCUUGCGGUGCAUUAGCUAGUUGGUGGGGUAACGGCCCACCAAGGCGACGAUGCAUAGCCGACCUGAGAGGGUGAUCAGUCACACUGGAACUGAGACACGGUCCAGACUCCUACGGGAGGCAGC